rnacentral:rRNA from 1 species
UAGAUUGCAGCACCUGAGUUUCGCGUAUGGUCUCCCACUACACUACUCGGUCAGGCUCU